rnacentral:lncRNA from 1 species
GGAGAAAUUAUGACCGAGAGCCUGACACCUGAUGCUGGCGGCUUUUGUCUCUCCAAGUUGGGCCAGUAUUUGGCCAUCUUAUGCGGCGGGUGACUAUGGUGUCCCAGAAUAUGUAUUACCUGAAAGCAGAGAGCAGUUGUUGCAUUGGAUCAUUCAGAGAGUAUGCAGCCACAACCAUGCCUUAGAUGUGUGUAAUUCAAGUGGAGAAGACACAAGCCAGUGGUUGCAAUAUCAUCAACACUUGAGUGUUCUGUAAUCGGAUUGGUGUCAGCAGAAAACCAACAACGAUGUGGUGGCACACAGUGAACUGACCAGACCCAGGCAGCAGUGGCUCUUUUGGUGGCAAUGGUGCCAAGUCACAGGUACUCUCCUUGCUAAUGGCAGAUACCAACAGGCAGACUAUUGCCUGCGUUUAGCUCUGUUAACCAUUGACAGUGAGAUUUAUCAGAGGUUGCAGCCGCACAUGGCCAUGAGGUAAACCCUGCCCCGGGUGGAAUUGAGUUUCAUUAGCUUCUACAUGGGAUUGUAAGGACUUGGAACAUAUCACCAACCCAGCAGGGUUCCCCCACCCUCCUGUUUUUAAAGAUUCAUUUUUCUUCCUAAAGGUAACAUGCUUGAACAAAGUUCUUUAUGGUUAGUAACUGUGAUGCUUGAAGUUGGUUAUCCCUUAUUCUAGUAAAUUUUAAAUGUCAAAGAUAUCUUGUUAAAUAAAAAAUAAAG